rnacentral:snRNA from 1 species
CUGAGAUUCAGCCCUUUGUCG